rnacentral:rRNA from 1 species
GUGGGGGAUAACGUAGCGAAAGUUACGCUAAUACCGCAUACGAUCCACGGAUGAAAGCAGGGGACCUUCGGGCCUUGAGCUUCUGGAGCGGUCGAUAUCUGAUUAGCUAGUUGGUGGGGUAAAGGCUCACCAAGGAGACGAUCAGUAGCUGGUCUGAGAGGACGACCAGCCACACUGGAACUGAGACAAGGUCCAGAAUCCUACGGGA